rnacentral:rRNA from 1 species
UACGGAGGGUGCAAGCGUUAAUCGGAAUUACUGGGCGUAAAGCGUGCGUAGGUGGUUCGUUAAGUCCGUUGUGAAAGCCCCGAGCUCAACUUGGGAAUUGCAGUGGAUACUGGCGAGCUGGAGUGCGGUAGAGGAAGGUGGAAUUCCCGGUAUAGCGGUGAAAAUGCGUAGAGAUCGGGAGGAACACCAGUGGCGAAGGCGGCCUUCUGGACCAGCACUGACACUCAAGCACGAAAGCGUGGGAGCAACAGG